CCGCAGCUACCAGGUCGCCCGCAGAAGAGUUCCUUAAUCAGCUGUUUGCGGGGACGGAGCCAGCCUGUAAUUUUUGCUUGGGAUUACACGCACCCAAACAAGGAGACAAUUAAUGAAAUUAUAUGUCACUUUGCGCUUGUUGAUCCUCACUUGGCCGACCAUUUUUUUUUUUUUUUACUCGGGUCGUGAUUUUGAACGAAUUAAUUCCAGGGCAUCAUGUCAAAACAAGCACCAUUACAUGCUUGUUAAUCUUAUUCAUACAGAGACUCGGAUAAUCGCUGUAUUAAAUCAAAGUUAUUACAUAAAGUUUUGUAACGACUCGCUUCCACAGACUACCGCGGGAGUUUCUCAUCGUCAAUAAGAAUAUAUUAAUCUUCAAACGAAAUGAUACGUCGACUUUACUAUUAUUAUCCUCUUUUCGGCUUUCUUAUUCUAGUCAGUAUAACCAACAAGGUUUGAUAUGAAUAACAUUUCGACCAAAGAUACUUUUUCUUGCACACCAAACUUCAUUAAAUUCCCUAGUCGAGGUUUUUGAAAAAGCGACAUUUAGCAACUACACCAAGAUAAGGGGCGGAGCUUAACAGUCAUGGCGGAGUGGCGUCACGGGCCUUCUGCAUCGCCCUUUGUACCCAGACAAACCCAAACUAUUCGAAAUUUGAGAGAGGGUUUCGAGGCCGAGAACAAGACACAGUGCGACCUUCAUUGACUGAUGAGAAGAUUUUUGUAUGUAUGACGUAAUGCUGUUUGUUGUUUUAAAGUCUUUUGCUUUUUGUAUUUGAAUAAAAAUUGAAA